rnacentral:rRNA from 1 species
GUAGUCUGCAACCCGACUACAUGAAGCUGGAAUCGCUAGUAAUCGCGAAUCAGAAUGUCGCGGUGAGUACGUUCCCGGGUCUUGUACACACCGCCCGUCACACCAUGGGAGUCGGAAAUGCCCGAAGUCAGUGACCUAACCGAAAGGGAGGAGCUGCCGAAGGUGGAGCCGGUAACUGGGGUGAAGUCGUAACAAGGUACC